rnacentral:rRNA from 1 species
UACGAAGGGGGCUAGCGUUGCUCGGAAUCACUGGGCGUAAAGGGUGCGUAGGCGGCGCCGUAAGUCAGGUGUGAAAUUUCGGAGCUUAACUCCGAAACUGCAUUUGAUACUGCGGUGCUUGAGGACUGGAGAGGAGACUGGAAUUCACGGUGUAGCAGUGAAAUGCGUAGAUAUCGUGAGGAAGACCAGUGGCGAAGGCGGGUCUCUGGACAGUUCCUGACACUGAGGCACGAAGGCCAGGGGAGCAAACGGG